AUGAACGCUAGCUACAGGCUUAACACAUGCAAGUCGAGGGGCAGCAUUUUAGUUUGCUUGCAAACUAAAGAUGGCGACCGGCGCACGGGUGAGUAACACGUAUCCAACCUGCCGAUAACUCGGGGAUAGCCUUUCGAAAGAAAGAUUAAUAUCCGAUAGUAUAUUAAAACCGCAUGGUUUUACUAUUAAAGAAUUUCGGUUAUCGAUGGGGAUGCGUUCCAUUAGUUUGUUGGCGGGGUAACGGCCCACCAAGACUACGAUGGAUAGGGGUUCUGAGAGGAAGGUCCCCCACAUUGGAACUGAGACACGGUCCAAACUCCUACGGGAGGCAGCAGUGAGGAAUAUUGGUCAAUGGACGAGAGUCUGAACCAGCCAAGUAGCGUGAAGGAUGACUGCCCUAUGGGUUGUAAACUUCUUUUAUAUGGGAAUAAAGUAUUCCACGUGUGGAAUUUUGUAUGUACCAUAUGAAUAAGGAUCGGCUAACUCCGUGCCAGCAGCCGCGGUAAUACGGAGGAUCCGAGCGUUAUCCGGAUUUAUUGGGUUUAAAGGGAGCGUAGGUGGAUUGUUAAGUCAGUUGUGAAAGUUUGCGGCUCAACCGUAAAAUUGCAGUUGAAACUGGCAGUCUUGAGUACAGUAGAGGUGGGCGGAAUUCGUGGUGUAGCGGUGAAAUGCUUAGAUAUCACGAAGAACUCCGAUUGCGAAGGCAGCUCACUUGACUGCAACUGACACUGAUGCUCGAAAGUGUGGGUAUCAAACAGGAUUAGAUACCCUGGUAGUCCACACAGUAAACGAUGAAUACUCGCUGUUUGCGAUAUACAGUAAGCGGCCAAGCGAAAGCAUUAAGUAUUCCACCUGGGGAGUACGCCGGCAACGGUGAAACUCAAAGGAAUUGACGGGGGCCCGCACAAGCGGAGGAACAUGUGGUUUAAUUCGAUGAUACGCGAGGAACCUUACCCGGGCUUAAAUUGCAUUUGAAUAAUCUGGAAACAGGUUAGCCGCAAGGCAAAUGUGAAGGUGCUGCAUGGUUGUCGUCAGCUCGUGCCGUGAGGUGUCGGCUUAAGUGCCAUAACGAGCGCAACCCUUAUCUUUAGUUACUAACAGGUCAUGCUGAGGACUCUAGAGAGACUGCCGUCGUAAGAUGUGAGGAAGGUGGGGAUGACGUCAAAUCAGCACGGCCCUUACGUCCGGGGCUACACACGUGUUACAAUGGGGGGUACAGAAGGCAGCUACCUGGCGACAGGAUGCUAAUCCCAAAAACCUCUCUCAGUUCGGAUCGAAGUCUGCAACCCGACUUCGUGAAGCUGGAUUCGCUAGUAAUCGCGCAUCAGCCAUGGCGCGGUGAAUACGUUCCCGGGCCUUGUACACACCGCCCGUCAAGCCAUGAAAGCCGGGGGUACCUGAAGUACGUAACCGCAAGGAGCGUCCUAGGGUAAAACUGGUAAUUGGGGCU
rnacentral:rRNA from 1 species